AUUGAACGCUGGCGGCAGGCUUAACACAUGCAAGUCGAGCGAGCGGCGGACGGGUGAGUAAUGUCUGGGAAACUGCCUGAUGGAGGGGGAUAACUACUGGAAACGGUAGCUAAUACCGCAUACCAUCAGAUGUGCCCAGAUGGGAUUAGCUAUUAGGUGGGGUAAUGGCUCACCUAGGCGACGAUACCUAGCUGGUUUGAGAGGAGGACCAGACACUCUGGAACGGAGACACGGUCCAGACUCCGAAGGGAGGCAGCAGUGGGAAAUAUUGAACAAUGGGCGAAAGCCGGAUGCAGACAUGCCGAGUGUGUGAAGAAGGCCUGCGGGUUGUAAAGCACUUUCAGCGAGGAGGCGUUACGCGCAGAAAAAGCACCGGCUAACUCCGUGCCAGCAGCCGCGGUAAUAC
rnacentral:rRNA from 1 species